UGGGGAAUCUUGGACAAUGGGCGCAAGCCUGAUCCAGCCAUGCCGCGUGAGCGAUGAAGGCCUUAGGGUUGUAAAGCUCUUUCGCCUGUGAAGAUAAUGACGGUAGCAGGUAAAGAAACCCCGGCUAACUCCGUGCCAGCAGCCGCGGUAAUACGGAGGGGGUUAGCGUUGUUCGGAAUUACUGGGCGUAAAGCGCACGUAGGCGGACCAGAAAAGUUGGGGGGUGAAAUCCCGGGGGGCUCAACCCCCGGAACUGCCUCCAAAACUAUUGGUCUAGAGUUCGAGAGAGGUGAGUGGAAUUCCAAGUGUAGAGGUGAAAUUCGUAGAUAUUUGGAGGAACACCAGUGGCGAAGGCGGCUCACUGGCUCGAUACUGACGCUGAGGUGCGAAAGUGUGGGGAGCAAACAGGAUUAGAUACCCUGGUAGUCCACGCCGUAAAACGAUGAGUGCUAGUCGUCGGCAGGCAUGCCUGUCGGUGACGCAGCUAACGCAUUAA
rnacentral:rRNA from 1 species